AUUGAACGCUGGCGGCAGGCCUAACACAUGCAAGUCGAGCGAGCGGCGGACGGGUGAGUAAGGUAGGGGGACUGCCCGAUAGAGGGGGAUAACGACUGGAAACGGUGGCUAAUACCGCAUACUAUCGGAUAACCCAUAUGGGAUUAGCUAGUAGGUGGGGUAAAGGCUCACCUAGGCGACGAUCUCUAGCUGGUCUGAGAGGAGGAUCAGCCCCACUGCGACUGAGACGCGGCCCAGCCUCCUACGGAGGCAGCAUUGGGGAAUAGUGCACAAUGGGCGCAAGCCUGAUGCAGCCAUGCCGCGUGUAUGAAGAAGGCCUUAGGGUUGUAAAGUACUUUCAGCUGGUAGGCGUUACCCGCAGAAGAAGCGCCGGCUAACUACGUGCCAGCAGCCGCGGUAAUUC
rnacentral:rRNA from 1 species